CAGCCGCCGCGGGAAUACGUAGGUGGCAAGCGUUGUCCGGAAUUAUAGGGCGUAAAGGGCUCGCAGGCGGUUUCUUAAGUCUGAUGUGAAAGCCCCCGGCUCAACCGGGGAGGGUCAUUGGAAACUGGGAAACUUGAGUGCAGAAGAGGAGAGUGGAAUUCCACGUGUAGCGGUGAAAUGCGUAGAGAUGUGGAGGAAGACCAGUGGCGAAGGCGACUCUCUGGUCUGUAACUGACGCUGAGGAGCGAAAGCGUGGGGAGCGAACAGGAUUAGAGACCCCCGUAGUCCCUGUCUCUUAUAC
rnacentral:rRNA from 1 species